GCAUCUGAUCAGCCAUGCCGCGUGAGUGAUGACGGCCCUAGGGUUGUAAACCUCUUUUCUCAGAGAAGAAACUCUGACGGUAUUCAAGGAAUAAGCAUGCGCUAACUCCGUGCCAACCCCCGCGGUAACUACAGAGGAUGCAAGUGUUAUUCAGAAUGAUUGGGCGUAAAGCAUCUGUAGGCGGUCUAGAAAGUCUUUUGUGAAAUACCUCGGCUCAACCGAGAUCCCGCAAAGAGAAACUCCUAGUCUUGAGGGAAGUAGAGGUACAGGGAAUUCCCUGUGGAGCGGUGAAAUGCGUAGAUAUCUGGAGGAACACCCAUAUGGCGAAGGCACUGUACUGGGCUUUUCCUGACGCUGAGAGACGAAAGCUAAAGGAGUGAUUACGAUUAGAUACCCCAGUAAUUUUCGCCCUAAAACGAUGGAAACUCCGUGCCGAGCGAAAUACAACCGAGCGGUGCUCACAGCUAACGCGUAAGUU
rnacentral:rRNA from 1 species